GUGAUCCACCCCAACAGAAGACAAGUCAAGGAAAUGAGAAAAAGAAAGAAGAUGAGAAUAUUACUCAAGGCGAUCCACCUCAACAAGAGAGAAGUCUAAGAAUCGAGAUAGAGGAAGAACUCAAGAAUAUUACAAAAGGCGAUCCACCUCAACGGGAGAGAAGU